ensembl:lncRNA
AGGAUUCAUCUCUGUGAAGAGCAAAGGAAAGGAAAGGAAGAAGACUGUAGGGGGAAAAAGAAAGUGGAGGAUCCCAUGUAAUGUCUGAGGCUGUUGCUCUGAGGCAAUAUCUUAGCAUUGAGACUGAAGAAGACAUUUACAAGGGAUGGGAGAAGAGACCCCAAAGAGUCACCAAAACUGUAGCAAGGCAGAGAGAGAAAGCUAGAUGCUUUAUGUCCUCUAAUCUUCCUCCAAGUUUAUAUAAAAAGCUUUUGAAAUACGUUACUCCUUCUUCUGUCCUGCGGUGCCAAUGAAGACAAGGAAACUUCUUCUGACCAAAGGAUUAUAGAAACCAUGGGCCUUUUGUGAAAUGGGCUGUGGAAAUUGGUUACUAUGCCAGCUCAGAAAAAAUGAAGUAGAGGUGAAUACAAGUACAUAUAUGUCUAUCUCUGUGUUCAUUGAUUCAGUGUAGUUGUAUACAGUACUCUCGGAAGUACCAGCUGCCAGAACUGUGACACCAUUUGAAUUGUUGCCACAUUUAUUAACCAAACCAUCUGUCACUGUAAAAUAAACUUGAGUAUUAGGAUUUUCUUUUUCCUGAGACAACAGAGAGCAUCCAAAAGUCAAUAAACUGAGUAUUCAGUGCGACAAACCCAACACAAAUAUCCUUGGGACAGGAUCCUAUUUGAUAUUACAUAACAGAGGUCAAAACACAAAGUGCAAAAAAGAAAUCUUCAUCAUUGCUGCCCACAGAAUCAUUUCCAAAGUUAAAAGCAUUUCAAGCAAUUGAAGGUGAGAAAAUAGAACCUUUGUCAAAGGGUGCUAUUGUCUCCCUCAUCAUUGUCAGGAUUUGGGAUCAAGUAGAAUCAAAUCUCAGAAGCUGAAAAUACUGAAUGACAGUAUCUGGCACACCAAUUACUGUGACUCAUGCUGGACAUCUCAUGUCUUUAUUGAAGGAAAAUCACUUUUCUAUAAAGCUUUUCUAGGACUCUCAGCACGUUUAUGCCUCUUUCAGGUGUUUUCAAAGUUAAUAAAAGAUAUUCAUAAUCACUGGGUAC